rnacentral:rRNA from 1 species
UACGUAGGGUGCAAGCGUUGUCCGGAAUUAUUGGGCGUAAAGCGCGUGCAGGCGGCCCGCUCAGUCGGCCGUGAAAGCGCCGGGCUCAACUCGGCGAGGUCGGGCGAUACUGGCGGGCUCGAGGCUGGUAGAGGGCGGUGGAAUUCCGGGUGUAGUGGUGGAAUGCGUAGAGCUCCGGAGGAACACCAGUGGCGAAGGCGGGUCUCUGGACAGUUCCUGACGCUGAGGCACGAAGGCCAGGGGAGCAAACGGG